rnacentral:rRNA from 1 species
CCCUUAGAUGUCCUGGGCCGCACGCGCGUUACACUGAUGCAUUCAACGAGCUUAUAACCUUGGCCGAGAGGCCUGGGCAAUCUUGUUAACGUGCAUCGUGAUAGGGAUAGAUUAUUGAAAUAUUUAAUCUUGAACGAGGAAUUCCUAGUAAACGCAGAUCAUCAAUCUGCAUUGAUUACGUCCCUGCCCUUUGUACACACCGCCCGUCGCACCUACCGAUUGGAUGGUCCGGUGAAGCCUCGGGAUUGUGGUUCUUGCCGCUUUAUUGUGGCGUGACCGCGAGAACUUGUCUAAACCUUAUCAUCUAGAGGAAGGUGAAGUCGUAACA